rnacentral:rRNA from 1 species
UCUGGUUGAUCCUGCCAGUAGUCAUAUGCUUGUCUCAAAGAUUAAGCCAUGCAUGUCUAAGUAUAAGCAAUUUAUACAGUGAACUGCGAAUGGCUCAUUAAAUCAGUUAUCGUUUAUUUGAUAGUUCCUUUACUACAUGGUAUAACUGUGGUAAUUCUAGAGCUAAUACAUGCUUAADAUCUCGACCUUUUGGAAGAGAUGUAUUUAUUAGAUAAAARAUCAAUGUCUUCGGACUCUAUGAUGAUUCAUAAUAACUUUUCGAAUCGCAUGGCCUUGUGCUGGCGAUGGUUCAUUCAAAUUUCUGCCCUAUCAACUUUCGAUGGUAGGAUAGUGGCCUACCAUGGUUUCAACGGGUAACGGGGAAUAAGGGUUCGAUUCCGGAGAGGGAGCCUGAGAAACGGCUACCACAUCCAAGGAAGGCAGCAGGCGCGCAAAUUACCCAAUCCUAAUUCAGGGAGGUAGUGACAAUAUGUAACGAUACAGGGCCCAUUCGGGUCUUGUAAUUGGAAUGAGUACAAUGUAAAUACCUUAACGAGGAACAAUUGGAGGGCAAGUCUGGUGCCAGCAGCCGCGGUAAUUCCAGCUCCAAUAGCGUAUAUUAAAGUUGUUGCAGUUAAAAAGCUCGUAGUUGAACUUUGGGCUUGGCUGGCCGGUCCGAUUUUUUUCGUGUACUGGAUCCAGCCGAGCCUUUCCUUCUGGCUAACCUUGGGUCACUUGUGGCCCUUGGCGAACCAGGACUUUUACUUUGAAAAAAUUAGAGUGUUCAAAGCAGGCGAUUGCUCGAAUAUAUUAGCAUGGAAUAAUAGAAUAGGACGUUUGGUUCUAUUUUGUUGGUUUCUAGGACCAUCGUAAUGAUUUAAUAGGGACGGUCGGGGGCAUCAGUAUUCAAUUGUCAGAGGUGAAAUUCUUGGAUUUAUUGAAGACUAACUACUGCGAAACAUUUUGCAAGGRCGUUU